GUUGAACUUUCAACCCCUCAUUUCGAGACAAAGACGUUGAGAAACAGAAGGGAAAUGGAGAAACCUUUGUUCCGCCGUCAUUUUAUCGUUUAGCGAGUGUGUGUAUUCGAAGUGCAUGCGUGUGUGUGUGUGUGUAUCUGGUUAGUGUGUAUACCAGUGACGUCAUGAACAAUGCAACUAACGAAAAAUUUUCAGACGUGGCCUUAUUUGAACAACUGUUUCGUUGAAGAGUUAUUAUAAAACGAAUUGGCUGUAAUGCCAACUAAUUAGUACAAUCGACAAUUGGACCGGAUUAUACGUAAUUAUGUACAAAUAAUGCGUAAAUGUAUAGGGAAAUCAAUAAGAAUUACUAAUGCGUAGUGCCAAUUCCUAGUUUUAUGUUACGUGGCUGCAUAAAGGGGUUGAAAAGGAAAGAAAAUCUAAAAUGGCCGAACAAAGACCUUGGAAAAAACUUCAAUGCAGUUUUUCUCAGUCGUUUUAACUUAAAAUAGGGAUUUAUCUUGUUUGGAUUAAACUUACUCUCGAUUCCAAUCGCUGUAUUGAUGUAUUUAAUCACAAUUAAAUGAAAUACUUUUGAGAAUUAUAUUAUGUCGCUUUAUAUUCAGUA